UUUAGUAAGGAAGAUAAUCAUUAUCAGAAGGACUCCCUACUAGAUGCUGGAGAAGACCAUGUACAGAAAUCAGAAGUACAAAGUUACUAGUUGCUUGCAGUACUUUGAUCCUGAUUCGUUCUUGCCAUCUCCAGCCAUUGCAGCUGCAAGCUGAAGUCACAGAUAUUCAGAUUCAUCAAUCAAUGCUGGUUUUGAGGUCCUGAUCAUCUGAAUGAAUUUAGCAAACUACAAGACAUGAAAUUAC